rnacentral:tRNA from 1 species
GCGUUGGUGGUUCAGUGGUAGAACCCUUGUCUUCUAUGUGGGAAACUUGGGUUGACUUCCAGCCAAUGCC